GAGGGGGCAAGCGUUGUUCGGAAUUACUGGGCGUAAAGGGCGCGUAGGCGGCCUGUUAAGUCGAACGUGAAAUCCCCGGGCUCAACCCGGGAACUGCGUCCGAUACUGACAGGCUUGAAUUCGGGAGAGGGAUGUGGAAUUCCAGGUGUAGCGGUGAAAUGCGUAGAUAUCUGGAGGAACACCGGUGGCGAAGGCGGCAUCCUGGACCGAUAUUGACGCUGAUGCGCGAAAGCCAGGGGAGCAAACGGGAUUAGAUACCCCGGUAGUCCUGGCCCUAAACGAUGAAUGCUUGGUGUGGCGGGUAUCGAUCCCUGCCGUGCCGAAGCUAACGCAUUAAGCAUUCCGCCUGGGGAGUACGGUCGCAAGGCUG
rnacentral:rRNA from 1 species